CGCCCAGCUGGUGUUUUAAGCUUAGACGGCCCUUUGUGUGGACGGGAACCCUAAUCAAAGAGCAUUGUUUUGUGAGACACUUAAGGGAAGGCACGGUAUCUUCAUUUUGUUCUUAAGUGUGAACUUUUAAUGCCCUCUGAUACCUAAUGAGCUAUCACAGGCUUUCUGGUAUUUAAACCACUCUUAAAGUCCACCUUCUUUCAAGACUUUCUUAAUGCACAGCUCGAAGUUUCAGCCUUAUAAAGUCAGUAUUUAAUAGUUUUUUGCACUCAGUCCACGUUUACACGAGAUCAAAACAACAAGGCAGUCAUUAGCCAGAGAAUUAAGCUUACUCAUCAGAGAGCAGAAAUCACCAAUGUUCCAAUACGCUGCCUCCAGUGGAUUUAUGUGGCUAUGUAAUGGAAAUUAGCAAGAAAUUGCUGUGUAUUUUCAGAGACUACAUGGACCUCAGGAGAAGAGUCUAUUUCCCCCUGAUUGCUGUAUCAGGUACCUGACUGGAUCACCCUACAUCUUUAGAAUACCCAUGCUCUAAGUUUGGAGGGAAGCCAGAAUAUGUGUAUGUCUUGGGGAGUGCAGCGGUAAAAGCAUACACGUCUUAUUCCAGAAGUUGAGAAGUGCUUUUGUGUUACAGAGUUCUCAUUUCUGUAAUGAAAAGCAAACUAUCCAAAACAAGUAAAAGAUAUUAUUGUAAUCCUCAUAAAGAUAAAAGGUGUUAGCUAU